CUAGUUCUAAAAUAUAUUUUUCAAGUAACAUAUAAACUAUACAUUCAUCAUCAUCAUCAGUCAAGAAAAAUUAGUAUUUUGUCUCUUAUAUUAUACUUUUCUAUUUGGUUAUGCUUAAAAUGUUGCAUUUAUAAUGAUUGAUUCUAAAAAAAAUAUUUAAUCAUCAAAUUUUACACAUUGUGCAAUUUGAUCUCUCUUUUUCUUUUUCUUUUUUACAAUUUUGUUGUUUUUUGUACAUUGUAGGUUAAUUUUAAAAGAAUGAGAAAAGAUGAAAAUAAUUAUAUUGGAUUUCUGGGUGGUUUCAUAUUUUAUAUUUUGAUGGGCGUCGAAACCACCAAAAAUAAUUCCUACUAAAAUAACUCUAAAUAGUAGUAAAGAGUGGUAGUAGGGUCGAGUCCACAAUGAUUGGAUGUCGUAAUCAACUUCCGUGUUCACUUAUAAACAAAAUAUUUGUCGUGUCAAUGAUCGUGGCAAGAGUCGUGCCCAUGACUCCAAAUGUACCUACAACAAAAAAAUAAACAAUUAAAUUGGGGGAGUUUGAGAAUGUUUAAGAAAUUAAAAUAAUCUAAUCAGCUUAAAUAAACGAUUGACUACUAUUGAAAAUAAAUGUAAACUGGAAAUAAAUUCAGACUUGUGUAAACAGAUAAAAUAAGCCUUAGCCUUAGACUUGAUAAAUUUCGUAUCAAGAAUCGAUCUUUGGAAAUUAAUCUUCUCCUCCAAACGAUAAGCUGGUUAUAGCAGUUAAGAACACCCUAACCAACAAUUCCUCCUCUAGUAGCUGAUUACGGUAUGACCUGCAAACCAACCAUUACCGAUUAUCUAACCAAGAUACUCGUGUUCUCGAUUCAAGAUUCUAGCAGCCUUGUGUUCUGAAGAACCCAAUUCAAAUUAACAGCCUCAACCGCGUGGGUCGUUUAAACUCGAUCACUUCCUCCUCGAUUUGUUCUCGGAGAUCCUAAUACAGCACGGCCGACUCAUUUCUCCAAUUGUCAGCUAACAUGACUCCAAACCAACGUGCACUUUUUGACUUGUAAUCGAGUUAACCUUAAGGGAUGAGUUGUCAAUCUCGAUACUUAGGAAAAAAUGAAUACCGGUUGGACGGAUUUUGGCAUGAAUUCGUAUCUCACGAUUCUCGACUGGAAGAACACCAACCUAAAGCUAAGAUGAAAUUUAGUGAAGAAUGAAAUUAUUCAUGCUUUGUAAACUUUGGAAGGUAGGUUGAUAGAAAAUGGAGGAAAUUGGGGAAUGAAAAAACUUGAAAGGCAAUUAGCCCAAUUUUAUAAAAGAAACAAGAAUUGGAAACUAUGCAAUAGAAUUUUAACGUCAAAUUGAAAGAAAAGGGAAAAUAAUUCUAUUCCAAAUUGGAGUAGGAAAGUAGAAUUCAU
rnacentral:lncRNA from 1 species